rnacentral:rRNA from 1 species
UACAGAGGUGCCGAGCGUUAGGCGGAAUCACUGGGCUUAAAGCGUGUGUAGGCGGAUGCCUAAGUACCUUGUGAAAUCCCACAGCUCAACUGUGGAACUGCUUGGUAUACUGGGUGUCUUGAGCCACUUAGGGGUUACCGGAACAAAUGGUGGAGCGGUGAAAUGCGUAGAUAUCAUUUGGAACGCCAAUGGUGAGAACAGGUAACUGGGAGUGUGCUGACGCUGAGACACGAAAGCCAGGGGAGCGAACGGG